UCUGCUCAAUGAUUUUUUAAAUUGCUGUGGUAUUUUGACUAUACAAAGGUAUUGAAAUAAGAUUUUAAUUGAAUGCUAAGAGAACGGAAGUCCAGAAAAAAACUUUUUUUAAAUUAAAAAUUGAAGUUUUUUUAAUUUGUGCAGAAACAAUUAUUUAUAUUAAAGACAAGAAGACCCUAUGAAUUUAUUAAAUUUUUAUUUAAUAUGUAAUUACUAUUAGAAAAAUUUUGGCUGGGGCGGCUAGAAAAUAUUAUAAACUUUUUAAAAAUAAAAUGAUCCAUUAUUAAUGAUUCUAUGUUAAAUACUCUAGGGAUAACAGCGUAAUAUUUUUUG
rnacentral:rRNA from 1 species